CCGCUUCGGGAAGAUGAAAUUAUCUCUUAUGUGUUUACUAGUCUCGAUUCAGAAUAUGAACCUUUGGUCAUAUCCCUCACCACAAGAUCUGAGGAACUCAUUCUCGAUGAUGUCUAUGCUCAUCUCCUAAGCUUUGAGC